CCUACGGGGGGCAGCAGUAGGGAAUAUUGCUCAAUGGGGGAAACCCUGAAGCAGCAACGUCGCGUGGAGGAUGAAGGUUUUAGGAUUGUAAACCUCUUUUGUGAGAGAAGAUACUGACCGUAUCUCAAGAAUAAGCACCGGCUAACUCAGUGCCAGCAGCCGCGGUAAUACGGAGGGUGCAAGCGUUACUCGGAAUCACUGGGCGUAAAGAGUGCGCAGGCGGGCUUGUAAGUCAGAUGUGAAAUGCUGUAGCUUAACUACAGAACUGCAUUUGAAACUAUGAGUCUAGAGUGUGGGAGAGGUAGGUGGAAUUCUUGGUGUAGGGGUAAAAUGCGUAGAUAUUAAGAGGAAUACUCAUUGCGAAGGCGACUUACUGGAACAUUACUGACGCUGAUGCACGAAAGCGUGGGGAGCAAACAGGAUUAGAUACCCGAGUAGUC
rnacentral:rRNA from 1 species